rnacentral:rRNA from 1 species
UACGAAGGGGGCUAGCGUUGUUCGGAAUUACUGGGCGUAAAGCGUACGUAGGCGGAUUGUUAAGUGAGGGGUGAAAUCCCGAGGCUCAACCUCGGAACUGCCUUUCAUACUGGCAAUCGUUGAGUCCGGGAGAGGUGAGUGGAACUCCUAGUGUAGAGGUGAAAUUCGUAGAUAAUUCGGAAGAACACCAGUGGCGAAGGCGGCUCACUGGACAUGUAUUGACGCUGAGGUGACGAAAGGCGUGGGGGAGCAAACAGG